rnacentral:tRNA from 1 species
AUUUAUUUAGUAUAUAAAGUACCCCUAAUUUCCAAUUAGAUAGUCUAAUUUUUAGAAUAAAUA